rnacentral:rRNA from 1 species
GAUGAACGCUAGCGGCAGGCCUAACACAUGCAAGUCGAGGGGUAACGGGGUGCUUGCACCGCCGACGACCGGCGCACGGGUGCGUAACGCGUAUACAAUCUACCUUUUGCUGAGGAUAGCCCAGAGAAAUUUGGAUUAAUGCCUCAUAGCAUUAUCGAUUGGCAUCAAUUGAUAAUUAAAGCUCCGGCGGUAUAAGAUGAGUAUGCGUUCUAUUAGUUAGUUGGUAAGGUAAUGGCUUACCAAGACUCCGAUAGAUAGGGGCCCUGAGAGGGGGAUCCCCCACACUGGUACUGAGACACGGACCAG